GAUGAAGAACGUAGCGAAAUGCGAUAAGUAAUGUGAAUUGCAGAACUCAGUGAAUCAUCGAAUCUUUGAACGCACAUUGCGCCCCCUGGUAUUCCGGGGGGCAUGCCUGUCCGAGCGUCAUUGCUGCCCUCAAGCACGGCUUGUGUGUUGGGCCCCGUCCUCCGAUCCCGGGGGACGGGCCCGAAAGGCAGCGGCGGCACCGCGUCCGGUCCUCGAGCGUAUGGGGCUUUGUCACCCGCUCUGUAGGCCCGGCCGGCGCUUGCCGAUCAACCCAAAUUUUUAUCCAGGUUGACCUCGGAUCAGGUAGGGAUACCCGCUGAACUUAAGCAUAUCAAUAAGCGGAGGA
rnacentral:misc_RNA from 1 species